UACGGAGGGUGCGAGCGUUGUCCGGAAUCACUGGGCGUAAAGGGCGCGCAGGCGGCUCUUCAAGUCAGAUGUGAAAGCCCCGGGCUCAACCUGGGAACUGCAUUUGAGACUGAAGAACUCGAGUUCGGGAGAGGAUGGCGGAAUUCCCAGUGUAGAGGUGAAAUUCGUAGAUAUUGGGAAGAACACCGGUGGCGAAGGCGGCCAUCUGGACCGAGACUGACGCUGAGGCGCGAAAGCGUGGGGAGCAAACAGGG
rnacentral:rRNA from 1 species